rnacentral:rRNA from 1 species
AGUGAACGCUGGCGGUAGGCCUAACACAUGCAAGUCGAACGGCAGCACAGUAAGAGCUUGCUCUUACGGGUGGCGAGUGGCGGACGGGUGAGGAAUACAUCGGAAUCUACUUUUUCGUGGGGGAUAACGUAGGGAAACUUACGCUAAUACCGCAUACGGCCUACGGGUGAAAGCAGGGGAUCUUCGGACCUUGCGCGAUUGAAUUAGCCGAUGUCGGAUUAGCUAGUUGGCGGGGUAAAGGCCCACCAAGGCGACGAUCCGUAGCUGGUCUGAGAGGAUGAUCAGCCACACUGGAACUGAGACACGGUCCAGACUCCUACGGGAGGCAGCAGUGGGGAAUAUUGGACAAUGGGCGCAAGCCUGAUCCAGCCAUACCGCGUGGGUGAAGAAGGCCUUCGGGUUGUAAAGCCCUUUUGUUGGGAAAGAAAAGCAGCAGGCUAAUACCCCGCUGUUCUGACGGUACCCAAAGAAUAAGCACCGGCUAACUUCGUG